UACGUAGGGUGCAAGCGUUUAAUCGGAAUUACUGGGCGUAAAGCGUGCGCAGGCGGUAAUGUAAGACAGGUGUGAAAUCCCAGGGCUCAACCUUGGAACUGCAUUUGUGACUGCAUUGCUGGAGUGCGGCAGAGGGGGAUGGAAUUCCGCGUGUAGCAGUGAAAUGCGUAGAUAUGCGGAGGAACACCGAUGGCGAAGGCAGCCCCCUGGGUCAAGACUGACGCUCAUGCACGAAAGCGUGGGGA
rnacentral:rRNA from 1 species